ensembl:lncRNA
CAUCGUGCCCCGCUGCCUCUGUCCUGUGUGGAGAAGCUGGGGCCGGCCGGGGUGGGGCUGAGCUGGGGGGGAAGAAGGGACUCCACCGUGAGUUGCCUGAAUAGAGGAGGCCCCGAGAGGCUGGGUGAGGCACCCCGAAACCAAGCAGGAAAAAUCCCUCCAUGUACAGGUGGUGACUAGCCUUCCCCGCUUGGGAAGCUUCUAGGCUCCUCGGAACUCACUGGUGGGUACACUUUUGCUCUCUCUCUUUUUUUUUUUNAAGAUUUAUUUAUUUAUUUAUGAUAGACAUAGAGAGAGAGAGAAAGAGGCAGAGAUACAGGAGGAGGGAGAAACAGGCUCCAUGCCAGGAGCCCGACGCGGGACUCGAUCCCGGGACUUCAGGAUCGCGCCCUGAGCCAAAGGCAGGCGCUAAACCGCUGAGCCACCCAGGGAUCCCCUUUUGCUCUCUUUUUAACCACUUUCCCGUAGGUAAAGGUGACACCUGUGGAGUUCCUGGAAAGGCUCAUGUGUUGGCUUUCAGAGGCCUCUGGAGGAGAGGACCUGGGGAAAUUUGCCUCUGGGCUCCUCUCGAACUAAGAACAAAAGCCGUCUGGAAGAAAAAUGUCCUCAUGACUGAGAAGCUACCAAGAACCUCGUAGCUCAGAGUCUUUGGGAAUUGUCGGUUUUCCAUGGCUGCCGUAACAGACUUGCCUCAAAGGUAGGGCUUUAUUUUAUCCUAUUUUUAAAAAGGAUUUGUUUAUUUAUUUGAGAGAGAGAGACAGCGAGAGAGAGAGCACAAGCAGAGGGAGAGGCAGAAGCAGGCUCCCCGCCGAGCAGGGAGCCUGAUACCCAUGUGGGCUCCACCCCAGGAUCCUAAGAUAAUGACCGGAGCCAAAGGCAGCCGCUUAACCAACUGAGCCACCCAGGUGCCCCUCGGAGGUAGGGCUUUAAAGCCCAUAUUUAGUGUCUUAUAGCUCUGGAGGUCCAAGGUCCCAGUUGGCUCAAAUGGUUUCUACACUCAGGGUCUCACAAACCUAAAAUUCAAGGUGUCAGCUAGCAGGGUUCUUGUAUUAUAAUAGGGAGGCUGUUUGCUCCCUGGCUCUCAGCCCGGGACCAUCCUUUGCUUCUCCAGCCUCUUGGUCUUUGCCCUGGGCCCCUACAUCUCAGAGUCCCCCUGUGGGAAGUCAAUCCUUGAGGUUGGAAUCUCUCGACUUCCCCUUUUCCUGCCUCCAACCUGAGGAAAUUCUCUGCUUUUAAGGGCUCCUGUGAUUAGACUGGGCCCCCCUGCCUAAUCCGGGCAGCUGUCCCCAUCUUCAAGUCUGUAACUUUAAUCACACCCGCACUGGUCCUUUCGCCUUGUAACAUAACCUACUUCAUAUUCACAGGCCAUCCUAGGGGGGCCCUUUCUGCCCUUUUGAGAGGAGGUGGGUAAGGCGCGUCUGGCUUCUUAAAAUAUACAACGUCUAAGGUGAAACGUGAAGAAUGGGCUCUGAAUCAAACACUUAACACCCCCAGGCAGGACUGGGCUUGCAGUCCUGGGGGGAGGGGGCCUGGCCUUCAAGACCCCAUUAGCCUGGGCAUUGGUUUCCCAGCAGCGUCUGGUGGGCCCAGCCUGUAGCAGGGCAAGGCAGGAGGAGAGGCGGGGUGCUCCCAGUGCUU